rnacentral:rRNA from 1 species
AAAGCGCGCGCAGGCGGUCUUCCAAGUCAGUGGUGAAAGCCCGGAGCUCAACUCCGGAACUGCCAUUGAAACUGUUAGACUUGAGGACGAGAGAGGUGAGUGGAAUUCCCAGUGUAGAGGUGAAAUUCGUAGAUAUUGGGAAGAACACCGGUGGCGAAGGCGGCUCACUGGCUCGUAUCUGACGCUCAGGCGCGACAGCGUGGGGAUCAAACAGGAUUAGAUACCCUAGU